rnacentral:rRNA from 1 species
AGUGAACGCUGGCGGCAGGCCUAAUACAUGCAAGUCGAACGGCAGCACAGCAGAGCUUGCUCUGUGGGUGGCGAGUGGCGGACGGGUGAGGAAUACGUGGGAAUCUGCCCAGUCGUGGGGGAUAACGUAGGGAAACUUACGCUAAUACCGCAUGCGCCCUUCGGGGGAAAGCCGGGGACCUUCGGGCCUGGCGCGAUUGGAUGAGCCCACGUCGGAUUAGCUAGUUGGCGGGGUAAAGGCCCACCAAGGCGACGAUCCGUAGCUGGUCUGAGAGGAUGAUCAGCCACACUGGAACUGAGACACGGUCCAGACUCCUACGGGAGGCAGCAGUAGGGAAUAUUGGACAAUGGGCGCAAGCCUGAUCCAGCCAUGCCGCGUGAGUGAAGAAGGCCCUCGGGUUGUAAAGCUCUUUGUCCGGAAAGAAAAGCGCCGGGUUAAUACCCUGGUGUCCUGACGGUACCGGAAGAAUAAGACACCGGCUAACUCGUGCCAGCAGCCGCGGU